rnacentral:rRNA from 1 species
GCAUAUCAAUAAGCGGAGGAAAAGAAACCAACAGGGAUUGCCCCAGUAACGGCGAGUGAAGCGGCAACAGCUCAAAUUUGAAAUCUGGCCCCUCGGGUCCGAGUUGUAAUUUGUAGAGGAUGCUUUUGGCAAGGUGCCGCCCGAGUUCCCUGGAACGGGACGCCACAGAGGGUGAGAGCCCCGUCUGGCUGGCCACCGAGCCUCUGUAAAGCUCCUUCGACGAAGUCGAGUAGUUUGGGAAUGCUGCUCAAAAUGGGAGGUAUAUGUCUUCUAAAGCUAAAUAUUGGCCAGAGACCGAUAGCGCACAAGUAGAGUGAUCGAAAGAUGAAAAGCACCUUGAAAAGAGGGUUAAAUAGUACGUGAAAUUGUUGAAAGGGAAGCGCUUGUGACCAGACUUGGGCGCGGCGGAUCAUCCGGGGUUCUCCCCGGUGCACUUCGCCGCGUCCAGGCCAGCAUCAGUUCGUCGCGGGGGAAAAAGGCUUCGGGAACGUGGCUCCCUCGGGAGUGUUAUAGCCCGUUGCAUAAUACCCUGCGGUGGACUGAGGACCGCGCAUCUGCAAGGAUGCUGGCGUAAUGGUCACCAGCGACCCGUCUUGAAACACGGACCAAGGAGUCGUCUUCGUAUGCGAGUGUUCGGGUGUCAAACCCCUACGCGUAAUGAAAGUGAACGCAGGUGAGAGCUUCGGCGCAUCAUCGACCGAUCCUGAUGUUCUCGGAUGGAUUUGAGUAAGAGCAUACGGGGCCGGACCCGAAAGAAGGUGAACUAUGCCUGUAUAGGGUGAAGCCAGAGGAAACUCUGGUGGAGGCUCGCAGCGGUUCUGACGUGCAAAUCGAUCGUCAAAUAUGGGCAUGGGGGCGAAAGACUAAUCGAACCUCUAGUAGUG